AAGUAGUGAACUUACAGGAACAUAUACCACUACCAACGUUUGGAUCGAUAUCUGCAUCGAUCUGCACACCCUUGUCUCCUGGAUCGUAGCUGAGAUCAGCGUGAACCACGUGGGUCUCUGCUCCCUUAUCUGUUUCUUAAGACUUUCAGCUUCAUCACGGAGUUUCUCUCGGUUUGUGGGCUCAUCUAAAGCUGAGUAACAGGAGUCUGGUGGUGCAACAGAGGAACAAUUUCAUCCAUUUGGACUCAGCUCAGCCACUACAGAGGAAACAAUCAAUGUCUUCAACACAAAAGGACCAACAUGGAGCAAGAAGUCAGCGCUCUCAGGAGGCCGACAAAUCUCACAGAAGAAAGCGAGAGAAAACCUACAGCUGUGAUGAGUGUGGGAAGGAUUUUACCCAGAGUGGACAUUUAAAAACACACCAACUCGUCCACAGUGGAGUUAAACCGUACAGCUGUGAUGAGUGUGGGAAGUCUUUUGCCCAGGCUGGAAGCUUAAAAACACACCAACUCGUCCACAGUGGAGUUAAACCGUACAGCUGUGAUGAGUGUGGGAAGUCUUUUACCCGGACUGGAAGUUUAAAAACACACCAACUCAUCCACAGUGGAGUUAAACCUUACAGCUGUGAGUUGUGUGGAAAGUCUUUUGCCCAGGCUGGAAGCUUAAAAACACACCAACUCAUCCACAGUGGAGUUAAACCUUACAGCUGUGAGUUGUGUGGAAAGUCUUUUAACCGGGCUGGAAACUUAAAAACGCACCAACUCAUCCACAGUGGAGUUAAAGCUUACAGCUGUGAAUUGUGUGGUAAGGCUUUUGUUCUAAAUGGCCACUUACAGAAGCAUCUAGUUACCCACUCUGGAAUUAAGGCGUACAGCUGUGACUUUUGUGGAAAAAGUUUCAGCGAGAAACACUACCGAAAUAUUCACCUACGGAUUCACACUAGAAAUGAAGUUUCCUUCUGUGAUCAGUGUGGGAAACUGUUUACAACAGAUGCACAGUUACAACAACACAUGUUUAGCCACACUGAGGAGAGACCUUAUAAAUGUGACCUGUGUGAGAAGACUUUUAAAACUCCACAUCAGCUGAAAAAACACCAACAGAUCCACACCAGAAAGUAACUCUACAAGUGCAGUUACUGUGAGGAUGUAUUUAAUUUUAUUAUCUUGUAAUUUUAACCUGAGUGUUUGGAACAAGUCUGAUCAGUAAACUUAUGGAGUUAUACUGAAUGAACUGUUUGGAAAAAUGAAGACUCAUUUUCUCUCAGUAAGCUGAGUGUUAUAAUGUAAACAGUAAAAUGUAAUUGGACGUUGGCAGAGAUGCUCUUUAUUUCAGGUGACGUUCAGGAUAAAAACGUUGAAGGAAUUCCCUGAUUCAGCUGCCGGAAUAUUACUGUUUUUUUGAGAUGUUUUUUUUUCCCCAUUUAUAGAUGAUUUCACUGUUUAAUGACAUUAACAUGUUCCUACGUUAAUGUUUAAAAUCACUUAAAAAAGGUGAGAUCCCAUGUCAAAUUAGCGCAACUAAUUGUAUUUUCAUUACUGGAAAUAACCGUAUUUGUAUGCGGGAGUUAUUUUCUGUAAUUAUACGGUCAUAUUUUGGCGCCCCAGCUGCCGGAAUAUCACUGUUUUUUCAAGACGCUUUUUCUAACAGUGUUAUUGAUUCCCUAUAAUUCACAGUAUUUGCUAUGUUGUUCAGAUUAUUUUAUACAGUGUUUGUCAUGUCAUUUGAUUUAGUCAGUGACUGUAAUUAUUCUGUAACAGCUGAUCUCUACCCGAGCAACAGUUUGUGCAGCUCAAUCUUCGCAGAACAAGUUUGAUCUUAUAAACAGCUGCUGAACAGAAAGAUGAAACGAAUAUAUAUAAUAUUAUAUAUAUAUAAUCUUGUACGUUGAAUUCUUGCACAGUGUAAAGAAGCUGUACUGUAACACUAAUUUAAGUUGAUGUUAAGUUUGUAAUACUGUUUUAAAUGGAGUUAAUCAAUCCUGUGAAAAAUGAAUGAAGAUGAACAAACACUGUAGAUCACAGAGUCGCUGACAGAGAGCUCAGAGACACUAACACGGUCUGAACAGGUUUGAUGAAAUGAAAAAUUAAGUCUUGUAAAACGUUCUAAUAACCAUCUCUAAUAAAUGUAAACACACAAUGUAACGAGUUAUCAAUCUGCCUACUUAUACAGUACAUGCUUUCAUAAACAACAUCUGUGAGGAUUAUCUGAAUGUUUUUGUAAAAGAUCUUGUUUCUAAACCAACUAUUUGUGAAGAAGUAAAUUUCCUUCUAGUUUCUCAUUCGCUGGCAAAAUUCAGUUCAACAGGGCUGGAGCCGAUCCCAGCUGUCACUGAGUGUGAGGUUUAGUCCACCAGGACAGGACCAACAGCAAACAUUAAUAAAUAGAGUUAAUGUUUGUUGUCUAUGAAUUCUGAUUUUAUUGUUUAAUAAUAACUUUGAACUUAAGGUAAAUAGCAAUUCAUCAUUUAUUAAUAAUGGUUAUUACAAAGUGUUACCUGAAACUAAAGUUGGGACAUAUUUGAACGCUAAAGCUGAAUCUCGCUUUUUUUCCACAUUCUGAAAGUCAACACUAACGGUUUGUAAUAGCAGCAGGAGUCUCACAGUUAUCUGUAUGAAGCCCUGAGAUGCCUGAAACAGGCUGAUGUCCAACAGAAUACUGAGCCUUUUGUAUAUUUUCUGUAGGUCAAGAAAACAACAGCAGCAACAAGAAGCACAGCAGUACAACAGAUCCAUCCUCC